CUUCUACACUGAGGAGCACUCCUUCCCACACAGAGCGGGACUCACUGUACAAGGCAGCAUGGCCUCGUAUUUCAUAAUUAUGGUACAACAGCCAAGGUUACCCCUGGAGAGACUCCAACUCAGGCUUCAAUGAGCUCUGUGAGAUGAGUAAACCAAAAUUGAUGAAAACUAGCAGAGGAUACAGGAUGAAAAGGAGCACAAGGAAAGAUGAAAGACAGAAGAACCAAGGAGCACUGCCUAGACCCUAACAAUGUGAGAAGCUGCAAAAGAUAAGGUUAAACAAGAUGUAGCCAGAGGCAGAUAGAAACCUCCCUUGCUGUUCACGAAGGACAGAUGUGUGCUCACCACAGCGCCUCUGACCUUACUGUUCACCUAAGCAGCGGUGGGACAUCUGAAGGAGCCUUAAUUCCUGAUGCAAAAUACAACAGAGAG
ensembl:lncRNA